ACUCGCUUAGUUGAUCUUAUCAACCCAAAUCUCCGAGUUUGAAAAAAGGAAAAAAAUAAAUCUUUUGGACAGUUACUUCUGAGUUCUGACCGAUGUUAAACUAUUCUUCCAUCUGCAGAGGGAGAGUUGUGUACGUGCUGGAGCAUUCUGUACUGGUAUAGCCAAUAACUCGCAAUUACGUUCGUCGAUCAGGUUGUUAUGCAGUUGGACAGUCCCAUCGACCGUGCUGCUGAAGUCAGCUGUAAUGUCAUGGCAUGAGAAGAACGUUUUCUUGACAGGACGUGUUUGUAGGAACAAUUUGUGAACCACAGCUUAAAUGCUAGGGCCCUGCUGCAGUUAACAAGGGCGAAGGGAAAGAGAGAUUUAAUAUAAAUGAAAUCGUAGCGAAUGGCCAGCAAUAACUCCUCCUCAACACACAUCCUGACAAGUCCAUUGCUCCUCAGUAACACAGAGAGAGGGGGAAGAAGAUUAGAGGAAGACGCAGACUCAUCAAAGAAAGACCUAGCUGUGUGGCUGUGGGUGGGCCCAUGAUUGUAAAUGUGCGCUUGUCCCGUUGCUCCAGCCUCCAGCCAGCCAGCAGGGAGGCCAGGUGCUUGAUCAUUGCGCCGGGUCCAUCCGUCCGUCCACGCGUUCCCGGGGAUCGAUGCAACGUGACAGUGGUGAGUACGUGUGCGCGUGGGAUGGCGCAGCAGCCCUUAAGUUGUACUCCCUCCGUCCCGUAAUGUAACACGUUUUUUUUGACUUCGUGGCUUGAUGAGAUGAGAAGAAGGUGCUGCCGCCUGCCGGUGGAUCUCUCAGAGUCGUGCGGGGCUGAGGUGGUGGUCAUGAAAGGUGUACUUUCGUCGCCGGCCGAGGCGAAUUCCAAUUCCAAUGGCUCAAGGCGGCGACGGGUCCAGACGCCCAGCGGCGUGGAAGAGAGAGCAGCCUUUCGAUGGUGUGAUUCGUCCCUUUCUUCGUUCGUUUCUGCUCCUUGUUCUGUAUUUUCCCACGGAUGGUUUCCCGACGACGAGUUGCGCCUCCAUGCAGGCACGGUGUGUGACCGGGUCUGGGCCCGAUACCGACCUCUGCUUGCCGUGCUCCAUGGGGGUAGAGUAGAGGCUCUUCCAUGUUGGAAGAAUGGAAGAUUACGUA